GGGGACAUAAGCUCAGCUGGGAGAGCAGCAGACUAAAAUUCUGAAGGUUCCGCGCUCAAUCCGCGAUGCCCCAUCA
rnacentral:tRNA from 1 species